AUUAAAGAUGUUUAAGCGCUUUCAGAACUUGAUAUACAACUUUAGGAAGGGGAGAUUGAAAAAUGGGUACGAUUGUAUGUCAAAAAUGUAACUCAACGAUAGAUCAUUUUGAAGCUGAGAAAGUAACUGUUCUUUAUU
rnacentral:ncRNA from 1 species